CCUACGGGAGGCAGCAGUGGGGAAUAUUGGACAAUGGGCGCAAGCCUGAUCCAGCCAUACCGCGUGGGUGAAGAAGGCCUUCGGGUUGUAAAGCCCUUUUGUUGGGAAAGAAAUCCAGCCGGCUAAUACCUGGUUGGGAUGACGGUACCCAAAGAAUAAGCACCGGCUAACUUCGUGCCAGCAGCCGCGGUAAU
rnacentral:rRNA from 1 species